CAGCCGCCGCGGUAAUACGUAGGGGGCGAGCGUUGUCCGGAAUUAUUGGGCGUAAAGGGCUCGUAGGUGGUUGCGUAAGUCGGAUGUGAAAACUCAGGGCUCAACUCUGAGACGCCAUCCGAUACUGCGCUGACUUGAGUCCGGUAGAGGAGUGUGGAAUUCCUGGUGUAGCGGUGAAAUGCGCAGAUAUCAGGAGGAACACCUAUAGCGAAGGCAGCACUCUGGGCCGGUACUGACACUGAGGAGCGAAAGCGUGGGUAGCAAACAGGAUUAGAUACCCUGGUAGUCCACGCCGUAAACGGUGGGCACUAGGUGUGGGGACUUUCAACGGUCUCUGCGCCGUAGCUAACGCAUUAAGUGCCCCGCCUGGGGAGUACGGCCGCAAGGCUAAAACUCAAAGGAAUUGACGGGGGCCCGCACAAGCGGCGGAGCAUGUUGCUUAAUUCGAGGCAACGCGAAGAACCUUACCUGGGUUUGACAUGUACGGAAAAGCUGCAGAGAUGUAGUGUCCUUCGGGGCCGUACACAGGUGGUGCAUGGUUGUCGUCAGCUCGUGUCGUGAGAUGUUGGGUUAAGUCCCGCAACGAGCGCAACCCUCGUCCUAUGUUGCCAGCAUUUAGUUGGGGACUCGUAGGAGACUGCCGGCGUCAAGCCGGAGGAAGGUGGGGACGACGUCAAGUCAUCAUGCCCCUUAUGUCCAGGGCUGCAAACAUGCUACAAUGGCCGGUACAACGGGCUGCGACACCGCGAGGUGAAGCGAAUCCCUUAAAGCCGGUCCCAGUUCGGAUUGGAGUCUGCAACUCGACUCCAUGAAGCCGAAGUCGCUAGUAAUCCCGGAUCAGCAACGCCGGGGUGAAUACGUUCCCGGGCCUUGUACACACCGCCCGUCACACCACGAAAGUUGCCAACACCCGAAGCCAGUGGCCCAACCGUUUACGGAGGGAGCUGUCGAAGGUGGGGGUGGCGAUUGGGGUGAAGUCGUAACAAGGUAACCGUA
rnacentral:rRNA from 1 species